CCCUUAGAUGUCCUGGGCCGCACGCGCGUUACACUGAUGCAUUCAACGAGCUUAUAACCUUGGCCGAGAGGCCUGGGCAAUCUUGUUAACGUGCAUCGUGAUAGGGAUAGAUUAUUGUAAUUAUUAAUCUUCAACGAGGAAUUCCUAGUAAUGAUGAAUCAUCAGUUCAUCGUGAUUACGUCCCUGCCCUUUGUACACACCGCCCGUCGCUCCUACCGAUUGAGCAAUCCGGUGAAUACUUCGGACCGCUACGCAGUGCCGGUCACGGCCUGUGUUCUGGAAAGUCGAGUAAACCUUAUUGCUUAGAGGAAGGAGAANUCGUANCA
rnacentral:rRNA from 1 species